AGAAUCAACGCUGGCGGCGUGCCUAACACAUGCAAGUCGAACGAGAAAGGGACUUCGGUCCUGAGUAUAGUGGCGCACGGGUGAGUAACACGUGAAUAAUCUACCCUCGAGUGGGGAAUAACUGAGAGAAAUCUUAGCUAAUACCGCAUAACACUUACGAGUCAAAGCAAGCAAUUGCGCUUGGGGAGGAGUUCGCGGCCGAUUAGCUAGUUGGCGGGGUAAUGGCCCACCAAGGCGAUGAUCGGUAUCCGGCCUGAGAGGGCGCACGGACACACUGGAACUGAAACACGGUCCAGACUCCUACGGGAGCAGCAGUGGGGAAUUUUGCGCAAUGGGGGAAACCCGUGACGCAGCAACGCCGCGUGGAGGAUGAAGUAUCUUGGUACGUAAACUCCUUCGAUGGGAAGAUAAUGACGGUACCAUAGAAGAAGCCCGGCUAACUUCGUGCCAGCAGCCGC
rnacentral:rRNA from 1 species